GAGCGGUAAGGCCACUUCGGGGGUACACGAGCGGCGAACGGGUGAGUAACACGUGAGUAACCUGCCCCAUUCUUCGGAAUAACCAGUGGAAACGCUGGCUAAUGCCGAAUAUGACCAUCGAAGGCAUCUUCUGGUGGUGGAAAGCUCCGGCGGAGUGGGAUGGACUCGCGGCCUAUCAGCUUGUUGGUGAGGUAACGGCUCACCAAGGCGACGACGGGUAGCCGGCCUGAGAGGGUGACCGGCCACACUGGGACUGAGACACGGCCCAGACUCCUACGGGAGGCAGCAGUGGGGAAUAUUGGACAAUGGGCGAAAGCCUGAUCCAGCAACGCCGCGUGAGGGAUGACGGCCUUCGGGUUGUAAACCUCUUUCAGCAGGGACGAAGCGAAAGUGACGGUACCUGCAGAAGAAGGACCGGCCAACUACGUGCCAGCAGCCGCGGUAAUACGUAGGGUCCGAGCGUUGUCCGGAAUUAUUGGGCGUAAAGGGCUCGUAGGCGGUUUGUCGCGUCGGGAGUGAAAACUCAGGGCUCAACCCUGAGCGUGCUUACGAUACGGGCAAACUAGAGGUAUGCAGGGGAGAACGGAAUUCCUGGUGUAGCGGUGGAAUGCGCAGAUAUCAGGAGGAACACCGGUGGCGAAGGCGGUUCUCUGGGCAUUACCUGACGCUGAGGAGCGAAAGCAUGGGGAGCGAACAGGAUU
rnacentral:rRNA from 1 species